AUAGGCCUCUGUGCCUUACAUGAUUCAUUCAAUAGGCCUCAGCGCCUCAGUUACAUUAUUCAUAGGCCUCAGCGCCUUACGUGAAUAUCAUUUUGGGAAAGUUAUUAUAAAGAAGAUUGUUAAGGAAAGAUUGUUACAAGUUAUGUACGAAAGAGUAUUGAAGUUAAAAAGCGACGUUACGUUAAGAAGACGAAAGAGUUGUGCUCAGUCAGACAGAAAAGAGAUAAGUUGAACUGAUAUAGUUUUAAUUAUAUAGUAAUUGGAUAUAGUAUUAUAAAGACGCUACUUAUAGCAAGUUAAAGAAAUAAAUAGUUAUAUAAACGUAACUGACUCACACUGAUUCUUUGUUGCGAGAGAAAUCGAACCAAAACGCGGGAAAUAUUAAUAUUAAGGACCACGCUCGUAACAGUAGAAUAACUGUUAAUUAUCUUUCGACUUCCAAGAAGAUACCAAUAUACAAGAACAGUGACAGUUAAAUAUAACUUUAAGCACCAGAUUACUCUUUGACAAUUUUUUGCUUGGGAUUAUAUAAUAAACAGAACAUUACCCAGUGACUUGAAGGCCUACUUUGGGGGCCAAGGUCCCCUAAUAUCGCCCAAUUUCGCCCAUGUGCACCCAAUUUUUGAACUUUGCCUAACAGUCUAUUCGCCCAAUAUCGCCUAAUUUCGCCCAGUUUCGCCCAGCGAUGCAUACUACUUUUCUUUGAAAAUUGCCAAAGUCGCCUAUUUUAAAUGUCGCACAAUGUCGCACAUAAUAACGGCGACCUUAUAUGUCCCACAUAAUAACAGCCCCCAAAGUAGGCCUUGAAGAUAUGGCUACUUUUAUCUUCUCGUGUUAAAAACAAUAUUUUACUCACUCGCAGCGCUCAUUCGUAAAAUAUUGUUUUUUAGAACUGGAACAGCUACCACUAUAAGGCAUUUACCAAUUUGUUAUUGCAUUAAUGACAAGCGCAACCAAUACAUUUAGGCCAUCCAAUAUGUAGUGCAUCCGUAUCAAUAUAUCUGAACUGCACGUUCUAAAGUUUCGUAUUUCUGUUAUAAUGGAUAUCAAUUAUUUCUCUCCGGGUCGAAAUUGAGUUGAGGUUAUAUAGUCUGUCUCGUUCUCGUUCUGAUGCAAGAAAUGGAUUUAAAAAAUCCUGCACAGAUUUCUCUUUAUUACGUUAUAAAUUUAUCAAAUUUCUCUGCUUGGCAAAAUUGACAUGACGUCACAGUGAUUUGUCACGCCAAUCCGACUUCAACUCCAAAUUAAACCUUUCUCCAAAUUCAAAGUCUCUAAGCAUUAUGGCAGAUCGUAAAUCGUUCCAAUCUACGAUAGUUAUAAGUGGUUUUACAUCACACUGACUCAUCACUGUGACAUCACAGCAUAAACAAUAAAAUUCGCAGCCACACUACGAAAUUUGCAAAAUUUGAAAUGUGAUAAAAAGAAUGCCGUGCGGAAUUUUUUAAAUCCGUUUUUUGAAUCAGACUAUAAUAUCAACUCACAAAGAAAAAAGAAAACUUUUUUCCCGCAGACUAAACGAAGCCCUUUCUGGGGUUGAAGUUAUUAAUACAAUAAUAGUGGUAAAAUAUGUGGAAUAUUAAAUUUAUGUUCGCUCGAACUUUGGGCAAUCUCGCGAUUAUUAUCAGUAGUUUAAAUGCAUCCUAAAUAUCAAACAAUAUGUGUGUUUUGAUAUAUACUAUGUAUACCAAUUUGUUGUUUCACUGAUGACUAUACUUGCUUUAUGAAUUAAUUCCAAAUCCAUUUUGCAUGACUUAUUUAUACGAGUUACUAGUUUUUAAUGUUGAUUACACAUGGUGUCGUCGCUCUAAUUCACCCAUGCAGAGGCUUAUUAUCCACCAGCUGCCAGGACAACUAUAGCCUAAGGACCCCUGGUUAUUUAUCCACCUAACGUAGUCUGGUUAAUUCAACCUGGUCGUCUUUCCUUAACCAUUUAUUGUGCACAAAACAUGAGGAAAUGACCACAUGGAAACAAGGCCAUUUCAGGG